ensembl:misc_RNA Metazoa_SRP Metazoan signal recognition particle RNA
GCUGGGCGCAGUGGUGCGUGCCUGUAAUCCCAGCUACUCGGGAGGCUGAGGUGGGAGGAUCGCUUGAGUCCAGGAGUUCUGGGCUGUUGCACUCUGCUGAUCGGGUGUCUGCACUAAGUUCAGCUUCAAUAUGGUGACCUCCCAGGAGCGGGCGACCACCAGGUUGGCAAAGGAGGGGUGAACCAGCCCAGGUCACAAAUGGAGCAGGUCAAAACUCCCAUGCUAAUCAGUAGUGCUAUCUCGCCUGUGAAUAGCCACUGGACUCCAGCCUGGGCAACACAGUGAGACCCCCAUCUCU